CUCGUAUCAAAUAACAGGAUUAGAUACCCUAGUAUUGUGGGCAGACAAUGAUGAGUGUCAUAUGCAAGAAAGGUUUUGUGUAUAAAUGAAAGUGUAAGCACUCCACCUCAAGAGUAACGUGGCAACAUGGGAACUGAAAUCAUUAGACCGUUUCUGAAACUCGUAGUGAAGUAUGUUGUUUAAUUUGACACCACACAAAUAACCUUACCACAACUUGUAUAACUAUAUAAUAAUGUAGCUACAAGCGUUGCACGGCUGUCUUCAGUCAAUGAAACUGUGGUUAGAUCCAUUAAAUUGACGUAAACCUAUUUAAAAUAAAGUAGUUCGCCGCUAUAUUGGUAGUGAUAUAUGGGACUAAGAC
rnacentral:rRNA from 1 species